UCGGGCUAUCUGCAGUCGAGCGAUGAUGAGGAGCUUGCUCCUCUGAUUUAGCGGCGGACGGGUGAGUAACACGUGGGUAAUCUGCCUGUAAGACGGGGAUAACUCCGGGAAACCGGGGCUAAUACCGGAUAAUAAAAAGAAACGCAUGUUUCUUUUUUGAAAGUCGGUUUCGGCUGACACUUACAGAUGAGCCCGCGGCGCAUUAGCUAGUUGGUGAGGUAACGGCUCACCAAGGCGACGAUGCGUAGCCGACCUGAGAGGGUGAUCGGCCACACUGGGACUGAGACACGGCCCAGACUCCUACGGGAGGCAGCAGUAGGGAAUCUUCGGCAAUGGGCGAAAGCCUGACCGAGCAACGCCGCGUGAGCGAUGAAGGCCUUCGGGUCGUAAAGCUCUGUUGUUAGAGAAGAACAAGUACGAGAGUAACUGCUCGUACCUUGACGGUACCUAACCAGAAAGCCACGGCUAACUACGUGCCAGCAGCCGCGGUAAUACGUAGGUGGCAAGCGUUAUCCGGAAUUAUUGGGCGUAAAGCGCGCGCAGGCGGUCUCUUAAGUCUGAUGUGAAAGCCCACGGCUCAACCGUGGAGGGUCAUUGGAAACUGGGAGACUUGAGUGCAGGAGAGAAAAGUGGAAUUCCACGUGUAGCGGUGAAAUGCGUAGAGAUGUGGAGGAACACCAGUGGCGAAGGCGGCUUUUUGGCCUGUAACUGACGCUGAGGCGCGAAAGCGUGGGGGAGCAAACAGGAUUAGAUACCCUGGUAGUCCACGCCGUAAACGAUGAGUGCUAGGUGUUGGGGGGUUCCACCCUCAGUGCUGAAGUUAACACAUUAAGCACUCCGCCUGGGGGAGUACGACCGCAAGGGUUGAAACUCAAAGGAAUUGACGGGGGCCCGCACAAG
rnacentral:rRNA from 1 species